rnacentral:rRNA from 1 species
GACGAACGCUGGCGGCGUGCCUAAUACAUGCAAGUUGAGCGAUGAAGAUUGGUGCUUGCACCAAUUUGAAGAGCAGCGAACGGGUGAGUAACGCGUGGGGAAUCUGCCUUUGAGCGGGGGACAACAUUUGGAAACGAAUGCUAAUACCGCAUAACAACUUUAAACAUAAGUUUUAAGUUUGAAAGAUGCAAUUGCAUCACUCAAAGAUGAUCCCGCGUUGUAUUAGCUAGUUGGUGAGGUAAAGGCUCACCAAGGCGAUGAUACAUAGCCGACCUGAGAGGGUGAUCGGCCACAUUGGGACUGAGACACGGCCCAAACUCCUACGGGAGGCAGCAGUAGGGAAUCUUCGGCAAUGGACGAAAGUCUGACCGAGCAACGCCGCGUUAGUGAAGAAGGUUUUCGGAUCGUAAAACUCUGUUGGUAGAGAAGAACGUUGGUGAGAGUGGAAAGCUCAUCAAGUGACGGUAACUACCCAGAAAGGGACGGCUAACUACGUG